UGGGGAAUCUUCCGCAAUGGACGAAAGUCUGACGGAGCAACGCCGCGUGUAUGAUGAAGGUCUUCGGAUUGUAAAGUACUGUCAUUGGGGAAGAACGGUUUUCUUGAAAAGAUUGAGAAGACAUGACGGUACCCAAGGAGGAAGCCCCGGCUAACUACGUGCCAGCAGCCGCGGUAAUACGUAGGGGGCAAGCGUUGUCCGGAAUUAUUGGGCGUAAAGGGCGCGUAGGCGGGCCUUUAAGUCCGGUGUGAAAGAUCAGGGCUCAACCCUGAGAGUGCAUCGGAAACUGGAGGCCUUGAGGACAGGAGAGGAAAGUGGAAUUCCACGUGUAGCGGUGAAAUGCGUAGAUAUGUGGAGGAACACCAGUGGCGAAGGCGACUUUCUGGACUGUAACUGACGCUGAGGCGCGAAAAGCGUGGGGAGCAAACAGGAUUAGAUACCCUGGUAGUCCACGCCGUAAACGAUGAGUGCUAGGUGUAGAGGGUAUCGACCCCUUCUGUGCCGCAGUUAACACAAUAAGCACUCCGCCUGGGGAGUACGGCCGCAAGGUUGAAACUCAAAUGAAUUGACGGGGUCAUAGCUGUUUCC
rnacentral:rRNA from 1 species